rnacentral:rRNA from 1 species
GAUGAACGCUGGCGGCGUGCCUAACACAUGCAAGUCGAGCGAUCUUCUUCGGAAGAGAGCGGCGGACGGGUGAGUAACGCGUGGGUAACCUGCCUCAUACACAUGGAUAACAUACCGAAAGGUAUGCUAAUACAAGAUGAUAUAAGAGAUUCGCAUGGAUUUCUUAUCAAAGCUCCGGCGGUAUGAGAUGGACCCGCGUCUGAUUAGCUAGUUGGCAAGGUAACGGCUUACCAAGGCGACGAUCAGUAGCCGACCUGAGAGGGUGAUCGGCCACAUUGGAACUGAGACACGGUCCAAACUCCUACGGGAGGCAGCAGUGGGGAAUAUUGCACAAUGGGCGAAAGCCUGAUGCAGCAACGCCGCGUGAGCGAUGAAGGCCUUCGGGUCGUAAAGCUCUGUCCUCAAGGAAGAUAAUGACGGUACUUGAGGAGGAAGCCCCGGCUAACUACGUGCCAGCAGCCGCGGUAAUACGUAGGGGGCUAGCGUUAUCCGGAUUUACUGGGCGUAAAGGGUGCGUAGGUGGUUUCUUAAGUCAGGAGUGAAAGGCUACGGCUCAACCGUAGUAAGCUUUUGAAACUGGGAAACUUGAGUGCAGGAGAGGAAAGUGGAAUUCCUAGAGUAGCGGUGAAAUGCGUAGAUAUUAGGAGGAACACCAGUAGCGAAGGC